UAGUCCGAAAGGAAACCAGGAUUCAGCGAUUCAGAUCUGGAAACAGCGGCAAGAAGCCUCGAAAAAUCAUCAACCAUAGAAUGCUGCGCAGGAUGUAUAGAAGACAGCCCACAGAGGCCAACAGAACUGUCCUGAGCCGACAGGGACAGAUUCUAAAGGAGGCCCUUAGGGACCACCGAAACCAGAGAUGGGAGGGACGCAUCAGGGAGAUUGGUCCAGACGACCAAAGCAUCUGGAGAAUUCAAAAGGCCCUCAGACAAGAAGACAUCAAGAUACCAGUCUUACACGGAUUGCAAGGUCUGGUAUAUACUAACAAAAAUAAAAUUUUUU
rnacentral:lncRNA from 1 species